rnacentral:rRNA from 1 species
UACGGGGGGGGCAAGCGUUUGUUCGGAAUUACUGGGCGUAAAGGGCUCGUAGGCGGCCAACUAAGUCGGAUGUGAAAUCCCCAGGCUUAACCUGGGAACUGCAUCCGAUACUGGAUGGCUUGAAUCCGGGAGAGGGAUGCGGAAUUCCAGGUGUAGCGGUGAAAUGCGUAGAUAUCAGGAGGAACACCUGUGGUGUAGACGGCUUUCUGGACCAUAGCUGACGCUGAGACACGAAAGCGUGGGUAGCAAACAGG